CCUACGGGCGGCAGCAGUGGGGAAUAUUGCACAAUGGGCGCAAGCCUGAUGCAGCCAUGCCGCGUGUGUGAAGAAGGCCUUCGGGUUGUAAAGCACUUUCAGCGGGGAGGAAGGCGGUGAGGUUAAUAACCUCAUCGAUUGACGUUACCCGCAGAAGAAGCACCGGCUAACUCCGUGCCAGCAGCCGCGGUAAUACGGAGGGUGCAAGCGUUAAUCGGAAUUACUGGGCGUAAAGCGCACGCAGGCGGUCUGUCAAGUCGGAUGUGAAAUCCCCGGGCUCAACCUGGGAACUGCAUUCGAAACUGGCAGGCUAGAGUCUUGUAGAGGGGGGUAGAAUUCCAGGUGUAGCGGUGAAGUGCGUAGAGAUCUGGAGGAAUACCGGUGGCGAAGGCGGCCCCCUGGACAAAGACUGACGCUCAGGUGCGAAAGCGUGGGGAGCAAACAGGAUUAGAUACCCUUGUAGUC
rnacentral:rRNA from 1 species